UGCUGGAGUUUGAUGGCCAUUUCGUUUACUUUUUGCAUGUAUUUAUUUUAGUCACCAUAAACUGAAAACACAAUAAUCCUUUUGGGCUGGCUGACCAAGAGUCAAGACAGAACUGGCCCUGGACCCUGGCCCCAUUUCACACCUGUGCCCUGGUGAUAUUCAUGUCCUCCCUCAGCUGCAGUGAUGCCUGCAUCUCCUCCUGAGCUCGGGCCACGUUGUACUGGCUGAACUGCUCCCACUGCUGGGGGGUGGUGGAACUGCAAACAGCACAUUUUACACAUUCAGAAACAGCGGGAUGAAUACACCUCUGAACACACGCAAACACAGUUCACGUUCAUAGCAGCCACAUAAAAACAGCACGAUCACUUUGCUCGUAUGUAUGUAUGUAUGUAUGUAUGUAUGUAUGUAUGUAUGUAUGUAUGUAUGUAUGUAUGUAUGUAUGUAUGUAUUGUAUUGCUUUUAAUCUUUUUAAAUGAAUUUAUCUUAUUAACACUUUGUUCUAGCUAGCUAUUUGU